AGUUAUUAGUCUAUAAAUACCUAUUCAAUCUAGGUAUUUUGGCAGAGAGUAUUAUUAUUAUGGAUAUUGAGUUAUUGACAAUUGAAAAUUAAUAAAAUUUGUUUAUUCUCCUCAGAGUGUUACCUUUGGUUCUUCAUCAGAAUGGUUCUCACUAAUUGUAAUUUUUUACAAAAAUGAAGUUGUAGAAUGUGUUUCUUUAGUUCUCCUGGUUAUUGUCAAUGUCUUAAUUUCCAAACCAAAAAGGACAUGGUUUAAAACAUACUUUGCUAUCAACAUUUUGCUACAUUUUUGAACACCGGAUAAUUAUCAUUUUAAGUUUUAAGGUUUCUUUUAUGUGCUUAUUCCAAGGAAAAUUGAAAAAGAAAAUGUUUGGUUUUAUUUCAAUCUGGCAGUGAGCUUACUUCAUAACGCUUAGAUGAAAUGAAUUGCAAAACUUUCAGUAGCACAAAAUCUGCAGGGGAAUAAAGUUUUGGAGAAAGAUCUUAUUGGAUUGCUUCUUAUUUUGGAUGAAGCAGUUUUUGCUAUAGUAAAGAUUUUGUGCAUGAUUAAAUGAGGAGUAAAAAAAAUAAAAUGUAGUAAGUUAGCUAGCAUUGUUGGGCACUGAAGGAGUGGUAUGUGUCUAAUAUAAGAGUUGCGGAGAUGAGAAU
rnacentral:misc_RNA from 1 species